rnacentral:misc_RNA from 1 species
GAUGAAGAACGCAGCGAAAUGCGAUAAGUAAUGUGAAUUGCAGAAUUCAGUGAAUCAUCGAAUCUUUGAACGCACAUUGCGCCCCCUGGUAUUCCGGGGGGCAUGCCUGUUCGAGCGUCAUUUCACCACUCAAGCCUCGCUUGGUAUUGGGCAACGCGGUCCGCCGCGUGCCUCAAAUCGACCGGCUGGGUCUUCUGUCCCCUAAGCGUUGUGGAAACUAUUCGCUAAAGGGUGUUCGGGAGGCUACGCCGUAAAACAACCCCAUUUCUAAGGUUGACCUCGGAUCGGGUAGGGAUACCCGCUGAACUUAAGCAUAUCAAUAAGCGGAGGA